AGGAGGUGUGAUGAUUGUUAUCCAUAUAAUCUGUAUGUUUCAGUGAUGAUUUCUAAACAUGCACUACCAUCUGAUCUCUG
rnacentral:snoRNA from 1 species